AGCGAACGCUUGCGGCAGGCCUAACACAUGCAAGUCGAACGAAGUCUUCGGACUUAGUGGCGGACGGGUGAGUAACACGUGGGAACGUGCCUUUAGGUUCGGAAUAACUCAGGGAAACUUGUGCUAAUACCGCAUGUGCCCUUCGGGGGAAAGAUUUAUCGCCUUUAGAGCGGCCCGCGUCUGAUUAGCUAGUUGGUGAGGUAAAGGCUCAACAAGGCGACGAUCAGUAGCUGGUCUGAGAGGAUGAUCAGACACAUUGGGACUGAGACACGGCCCAAACUCCUACGGGAGGCAGCAGUGGGGAAUCUUGCGCAAUGGGCGAAAGCCUGACGCAGCCAUGCCGCGUGAAUGAUGAAGGUCUUAGGAUUGUAAAAUUCUUUCACCGGGGACGAUAAUGACGGUACCCGGAGAAGAAGCCCCGGCUAACUUCGUGCCAGCAGCCGCAGUAAAAC
rnacentral:rRNA from 1 species